GGGUAGGUACCCGAGCGGCCAAAGGGGACGGCCUGUAAAGCCGUUGGCUAACGCCUACGGAGGUUCGAAUCCUCCCCUGCCCACCA
rnacentral:tRNA from 1 species